rnacentral:rRNA from 1 species
UACGUAGGGGGCGAGCGUUGUCCGGAAUGAUUGGGCGUAAAGGGCGCGUAGGCGGCCAUUUAAGUCUGGAGUGAAAGUCCUGCUUUCAAGGUGGGAACUGCUUUGGAUACUGGAUGGCUUGAGUGCAGGAGAGGUCAUUGGAAUUCCCAGUGUAGCGGUGAAAUGCGUAGAGAUUGGGAGGAACACCAGUGGCGAAGGCGAGUGACUGGACUGUAACUGACGCUGAGGCGCGAAAGUGUGGGGAG